GACGUAGGGCGCAAGCGUUGUCCGGAUUUAUUGGGCGUAAAGAGCUCGUAGGCGGCUUGUUGCGUCGUCCGUGAAAACCUGUGGCUCAACUACAGGCUUGCGGUCGAUACGGGCGGGCUGGAGUUCGGUAGGGGAGACUGGAAUUCCUGGUGUGAGCGGUGAAAUGCGCAGAUAUCAGGAGGAACACCGGUGGCGAAGGCGGUUCUCUGGGCCUUACCUGACGCUGGAGGAGCGAAAGCGUGGGGAGCGAACAGG
rnacentral:rRNA from 1 species